GACGAACGCUGGCGGCGUGCUUAACACAUGCAAGUCGAACGGAAAGGCCCUGCUUUUGUGGGGUGCUCGAGUGGCGAACGGGUGAGUAACACGUGAGUAACCUGCCCUUGACUUUGGGAUAACUUCAGGAAACUGGGGCUAAUACCGGAUAGGAGCUCCUGCUGCAUGGUGGGGGUUGGAAAGUUUCGGCGUUUGGGGAUGGACUCGCGGCUUAUCAGCUUGUUGGUGGGGUAGUGGCUUACCAAGGCUUUGACGGGUAGCCGGCCUGAGAGGGUGACCGGCCACAUUGGGACUGAGAUACGGCCCAGACUCCUACGGGAGGCAGCAGUGGGGAAUAUUGCACAAUGGGCGGAAGCCUGAUGCAGCAACGCCGCGUGCGGGAUGACGGCCUUCGGGUUGUAAACCGCCUUCGCCUGUGACGAAGCGUGAGUGACGGUAAUGGGUAAAGAAGCACCGGCUAACUACGUG
rnacentral:rRNA from 1 species